GAUGAGCGGAUAUUUCUUGGCGAGGAUGCGGAGGAGGAAGUUGGAACUCUCUCACGGUGUGUAAGUGCUGCCUCGGGCACAGAGAGUGCCGAACGAACGCAGAUGAGAGACAUCUUGCAGCAGCAUCUUGACAAGGUGGGUCAAGCCAAGCAGACAAUAGCUGAGCCUUGUGUGAUGUACUGACCAUGUUUCCAAGUCCUGGGAGAAAUAGGGCUGGGGUGAGAGGAAAACGGGUUUCUGUUGUCUUUUCAUAAUCCCGUUUGUAUUUAUGUUUUAAAUGUUUAAAAGAAAACUCAGGUUAUCGUGCUGAUUUAUUUUUCAUUUAGUACCAACUUUCAAAGGUUUUAGUUAGGUCUGAAAAGAAAACUGACUGUUUAUCUAAACAGAUGCACCCUGCUGGUAGUCUUUACUUUUGAAAAACUGGGCUGUAGUGUAUUCUCUGCAUAGUGGUCACGGAGACAUUUAGAAAAUAUUAAUUAACCCUAAUUACAGCCUGUGGAUCUACAGCCAAUCUUUAAGAAAAUUCUGUUGCUCCCCAGCUCCGAAAAAAAAAAGAACCAA
rnacentral:lncRNA from 1 species